UACGAAGGGGGCUAGCGUUGUUCGGAAUUACUGGGCGUAAAGGGCGCGCAGGCGGCCGCUCAAGUCAGAUGUGAAAGCCCCGGGCUCAACCUGGGAACUGCAUUUGAUACUGAGUGGCUAGAGUUCGGGAGAGGAGAGUGGAAUUCCCAGUGUAGAGGUGAAAUUCGUAGAUAUUGGGAAGAACACCGGUGGCGAAGGCGGCUCUCUGGACCGACACUGACGCUGAGGCGCGAAAGCGUGGGGAGCAAACAGG
rnacentral:rRNA from 1 species